UGGGGUCUAUGGGGCCUAUGGGGCAAUGGGGGCUAUGGGGUGAUGGAUCUAUGGGGUGACAGAGCUAUGGGGUGAUGGGGUCUAUGGGGUCUAUGGGGUGAAGGAUCCAUGGGGUGAUGGAUUAAUGGGGAAUGGGGUUUAUGGGGUCUACGGGGUGAUGGGGUCUAUGGGGCCGCAGGUCUAUGGGGUGAUGGGGUCUAUGGGGUGAAGGAUCUAUGGGGGAUGGGGUCUAUGGGGUGAAGGAUCCAUGGGGCAACGGGUUCUAUAGGACAAUGGGCUCCAUGGCACAAUGGGGUCUAUGGGGCGAUGACCCCAUGCGACAAUGGGGUCCAUGGGGUGACGGCUCCAUGGGGGAUGACCCCAUAGGGCAAUGGGGUUUAUAGGGCAAUGGGGUCAAUGGGGCUAUGACCCCAUAGGACAACGGGCUCCACGGGGUGCUGGCGGCGCUGCUCCCCCUGCUCCCCCCCGUGGGUCCCCCCCCAGGGCGAGGUGCCCCCGGCCCCCCCCGGGCCCCUUCCUGCAGGGGCCGCGUCCGCCCCCACCCUUCCUGUGCCCCCCCCCCGGCCCCUUCCUGUUGACGCCGGUGGCGGGGACACGGGGACAGUGACGGGGACACGGGGACAAUGACGGGGACAGUGACGGGGAGAGUGACGGGGACACUGGGGGGCCGUGGGACCCCAACAGGGCCCCUCCCGGUGUCCUCCCUGUAUAUGGGGUCCUGUUCCCCCCCCCCCCCCCUUUUGGGGGUCACAGGGAUGUGGGGGUUACGCCCCCCCCCAUGUCCCCAAGGGUGUCACCGGCGGCGUCAUCGGAAGCGGCAGCGUCCGUCCGCGGGCUCGGCACGCGCCCGGCACCCGCGGGUGGGGGGGACGGGGACAGGAUGGGGACAGGGACAAGGACAGGGAUGGGGACAGGAUGGGGAUGGGAUAGGGACAAGGACAGGAUGGGGACAGGAUUGGGACGGGGACAAGGACAGGAUAGGGACAGGGACAGGAUGGGGACAUGGAUGGGGACAGGAUUGGGAUGGGGACAAGGACAGGGACAGGGUGGGGACAGGAUUGGGAUGGGGACAGGGACAGGGAUGGGGACAGGGACAGGACGGGGACAGGGACAGGAUGGGGACAAGGACAUGGAUGGGGACAAGAGACGGGAUUGGGGACAGGAUGGAGACAGGAUUGGGACAGGGAUAGGGACAAGGACAGGAUGGGAACGGGAUGGGGACAGGGACAGGGUGGGGACAAGAUUGGGACAAAAUUGGGACAGGGAUUGGGAUGGGGACAGGGACAGGGUGGGGACAGGAUUGGGACAGGGACAAGGAUGGGGACGGGGACAAGGACAGGACAGGGACUAGGACAGGAUGGGGAUGGGGACAGGAUGGGGAUGGGGACAGGAUGGGGAUGGGGACAGGGACAAGGACGGGGAUGGGGACAAGGACAGGACAGGGACAGGGACAGGAUGGGGAUGGGGACAGGAUGGGGACAGGGACAGGAUGGGGAUGGGGCAGGGACAGUUUGGGGACAAGCACAGUGACAAGGACAAGCACGCCCCGAGCCCGCGCUGCUUUAUUAUUUACAGGGGGGGACGGAGGGGACGCGGCUGUCCCCAAGGCACGGGGACCUCGGGGCUGUCCCCAA
rnacentral:lncRNA from 1 species